UACGGGGGGGUAAGCGUUGUUCGGAAUUACUGGGCGUAAAGGGCUCGUAGGCGGCCAACUAAGUCGGACGUGAAAUCCCUCAGCUUAACUGGGGAACUGCGUCCGAUACUGGAUGGCUUGGAUUUGGGAGAGGGAUGCGGAAUUCCAGGUGUAGCGGUGAAAUGCGUAGAUAUCUGGAGGAACACCGGUGGCGAAGGCGGCAUCCUGGACCAACAUUGACGCUGAGGAGCGAAAGCUAGGGGAGCAAACGGG
rnacentral:rRNA from 1 species